GAUGAAGAACGCAGCGAAAUGGGAUAAGUAAUGUGAAUUGCAGAAUUCAGUGAAUCAUCGAAUCUUUGAACGCACCUUGCGCUCUUUGGUAUUCCGAAGAGCAUGCCUGUUUGAGUGUCAUGAAAAUAUCAACCUUGACUUGGGUUUUGUGCUCUAGUCUCGGCUUGGAAUUGGGUGCUUGCCGCUUUUACGAGCGGCUCACCUUAAAUGUAUUAGCUGGAUCUGUCUUUGAGACUUGGUUUGACUUGGCGUAAUAAGUAUUUCGCUAAGGACAUUCUUCGGAGUGGCCUCGUUUCUAGGACGCUUGUCCGCUUUCCAAUACAAGUUCCACCUCGUGGACAUGACUUUUUAUUAUCUGGCCUCAAAUCAGGUAGGACUACCCGCUGAACUUAAGCAUUUCAAUAAGCGGAGGA
rnacentral:misc_RNA from 1 species